rnacentral:rRNA from 1 species
CCUACGGGAGGCAGCAGUGAGGAAUAUUGGUCAAUGGACGAGAGUCUGAACCAGCCAAGUAGCGUGAAGGAUGACUGCCCUAUGGGUUGUAAACUUCUUUUAUAUGGGAAUAAAAUGUUCCACGUGUGGGAUUUUGUAUGUACCAUAUGAAUAAGGAUCGGCUAACUCCGUGCCAGCAGCCGCGGUAAUACGGAGGAUCCGAGCGUUAUCCGGAUUUAUUGGGUUUAAAGGGAGCGUAGGCGGAUUGUUAAGUCAGUUGUGAAAGUUUGCGGCUGAACCGUAAAAUUGCAGUUGAAACUGGCAGUCUUGAGUACAGUAGAGGUGGGCGGAAUUCGUGGUGUAGCGGUGAAAUGCUUAGAUAUCACGAAGAACUCCGAUUGCGAAGGCAGUUCACUGGACUGCAACUGACACUGAGGCUCGAAAGUGUGGGUAUCAAACAGGAUUAGAUACCCCGGUAGUC